rnacentral:rRNA from 1 species
AGUGAACGCUGGCGGUAGGCCUAACACAUGCAAGUCGAACGGCAGCACAGUAAGAGCUUGCUCUUACGGGUGGCGAGUGGCGGACGGGUGAGGAAUACAUCGGAAUCUACUUUUUCGUGGGGGAUAACGUAGGGAAACUUACGCUAAUACCGCAUACGACCUACGGGUGAAAGCAGGGGAUCUUCGGACCUUGCGCGAUUGAAUGAGCAGAUGUCGGAUUAGCUAGUUGGCGGGGUAAAGGCCCACCAAGGCGACGAUCCGUAGCUGGUCUGAGAGGAUGAUCAGCCACACUGGAACUGAGACACGGUCCAGACUCCUACGGGAGGCGGCAGUGGGGAAUAUUGGACAAUGGGCGCAAGCCUGAUCCAGCCAUACCGCGUGGGUGAAGAAGGCCUUCGGGUUGUAAAGCCCUUUUGUUGGGAAAGAAAAGCAGCAGGUUAAUACCCCGCUGUUCUGACGGUACCCAAAGAAUAAGCACCGGCUAACUUCGUG